rnacentral:lncRNA from 1 species
AUUUCAAGAAUGUUUGAGCACUGAAGUCAAUGUUGGCAUAGAGGACAUGUGGGAGACAGGUAGCCUGCAUGUUGCCUGAGCCAAACAGAGAUUGGGCAAUUCCAUCAGCAAAGAGUUUAGGAUCCCUGGGAGUUAAUAAAUGCUAAACUCUUCGAGGGGGAAAAGGAGAGGUAUGUCCCCCACCUCAGCCUGCAGUUUCAGUGUUCUGGAGAGUCAAGAUAUCCCUGAACAGUGUAGGCAACCCAAUUUACUCCAGUGUUUUUAGCAUGGCCUACAUUUUUGGAAUCUCCAAAGAGAAGCCCUCGAAUUGGUCACUGGCCACUGAGCAGACAUUCAGCAGAAGACGAUUUGUUUUGUUUAGAAGAUGCCUAUUCCAGUAAGACCAGAAUUCCUUGAGUUCAGGAGCAGGACCCGGGUCUGAGGCUGCAGGUUCAAGGCUAUGUGCUGGGGAGUUCACUGGGCAAGGGAAAGUUACUUGGGCCACACUGACUUGGCCAAGUUUCUUUUGGGGACUGUGUACCCAGGAAGGACUAUUGACAGCCAGAGCUGGACAGUCCCAUGAUAACCAGCCUUGUUGGACCACUUACCCACCCUGUUGUCAGCCUCAAAUCUCUGCCCUGUCUUCAGUGGCUCUGAUCUUCCUGUAGAAGUGGGUCUCAUGGGUCUUAGGGUCCAUAAGUACCCAGUCUCAUUCAGAAUCAGGCAUCUGAAUUAUAGUCUGGUUGACUGCACUGGGUCAGAGAGUAAACUGAAGCAAUUGUCAUGUUGCUAAAGAUUUUGAAAACCAAACUGAGCCUCCUGGUGGCACCCAUGUGUCUACAAAGCCCACGAAUGAGGAGUUCAUUAGGAGUGGGCGAGUGAGUACUCAUAAUAUCAAAUUCAAAGGACAGUGAUUUUUCCUCCCUCCCACCACACAAGCUUCCUAUGGAUUUAGUAUCAGAUGUCACACCCAGAUGCCCUAUGUUUCUAAAUUUAACUGUGCCCUAUUAUUUUUAUUCUUAAGGAGAAGAUAGUAGAUGAAGGCUAGACUGUAAGUUCAAAUCCCUAUUAGGACUUGUAGUGUUUUGUUUGCUUGUUUGUUUUGUUUUGUUUUUUGAUCAAACCUUGGGUAACAUUUGCAUCCCAGUGACAACCAGAAGUGUAUGAUAUUAAAUCAUUUAUUAAGGAAUAGUCAGUGUCAGGAAAGUGCCAGACGCACACACCCCCAUUUACAACUGGAGAAAUGUUUGUGUGAGAUAAGCUGUAGCACAUGGCAUGUCCCUCACUCAUCAGAGUAGAGCACACAGCCAAUAUGAAUUUUUACCCAUAUGCUUCAUAAUUACAGCUGGUAGAGGCACAAUCAGCCCUCUCUUAAGCUAAGCACAGCUGUGAAUCACAUUGGUGUCUGUAAAAAGAGACCACUGACACCUGCGCUUUCUGUGCAGCCCUACCUGAUUUAACACUGCUGUGUCUUCUCUGGUGGGGUGGAAAUUAGAUAGUUUGUAUUUGUAACAGAUGCACAGAUCUGAGUGGGACCUGGCUUGCUGAUUUCUGCUGCUCCUUGUUCUGUGUGGACACUACUAGAACCUUCUGAGAUAAGUAAAGCUGUGGCAUCCUAUCAGGGGAAGAAAACUCUCACAGGGGCUCCACGUUGUCAGGAUGGGUUCUGCUGAAUGAAGAAUGAAGUGUUAAGAGAGCAUUGGGUAAUCUCCUUCUGAGAUUAAAAAACAAAACAAAAAACAUAGCUAGUUAAGGCUUUAUUAAUCCGUAGUAAAAAUCACAAGAAGUACAAUUUCUUGGGGUUAGGAGUGAAGUUCACUUGUAUAGUUCUUGCCUAGCAUUCACAAAACCCUAAUACGAAAAGGAAGGUGGGAGGACGUGAGGAAGGGAAAUGUCUUCGUAGCUUUGCGAACUCUUGUCCUUUGGCCCCCGGAGUAUAAAAUGCUGCCUCAUCAAUUCCUCCUUUGCUGCAGGAUCAUGCAUUCUUACCAGUGAGGAGCUGAAGGCUGGUCUCUUUAGCGAUGACUCAGUCCAGACCCACAGCGUAGGUGGGGUUCUCACGUGCAAGUAAAAGCUGAAGUUUGGAGUGUAAAACAGCUUGUUUCCUACUGCCUCUGUUCAUCUACACACUUGAGUACCCUUAAGGUUUAAGAUGCUCUCCUCUAGGCACUGAAAGGGCUACUCAUGUCUCCUGCUUCUCAGGCAUGUAAGGUUUCGGUUCUGCUGGGAGAGCUCUAAGCCAUGCACCAGGCAUAGUGGCACAUGCUUUUAAUCCCAGCACUUGGAAGGCAGAUGUAGAUCUCUACAAUGCCUUCUGUACACAGUUCCAUACCACCCAGAAUUACAUGAUAAGACCUUGAUGGUGAGUAAGUAAAUACACAAAUAAAUAAAUGAUCCAAGCCAUCUACUGAAUUCUAAAAGAGGCAGAAAGUAGUGUUUUAUACAGUGUAUUUUUGUUUUUUUGUUUUUUUUUUUUUUCUACAGGGUUCUUGAGUGGCAAUUGUAUUUCUGAAGAUGCUUCUAACUGGUUAAUGUUUUCUUGGGGGAAUCUCCCUCCAUUUCCAGGGCACUGAACUGAUUUCAAAUCAAAUUGUGAUUAGAAUACUGUGCAAAACAGAGAGGCAUUCGUGCCACAGAGUAGCUCCUCACAAAUGGCCACAUGGUUGCUAGGCCCUCCAACCUGGAGUUUUCUAGAAUAAUCUUAUUUUUGUACUUGUCCACCCUGCUAAGAUAUAUACCACUGAAAAGAAGCGAGAUGUCUGACUCAGUAUGAAUAAAUAACACUUCCUACUUG